rnacentral:rRNA from 1 species
GACGAGCGCUGGCGGCGUGCCUAAUACAUGCAAGUCGAACGAACCGCGACUGAGUGCUUGCACUUGGUCAAGGUGAGUGGCGAACGGGUGAGUAACACGUGGGUAACCUACCUCAUAGUGGGGGAUAACAGUCGGAAACGACUGCUAAUACCGCAUAGGACAUAGGAUCACAUGAUCCAGUGAGGAAAGGUGGCGCAAGCUAUCGCUAAGAGAUGGACCCGCGGUGCAUUAGCUAGUUGGUAGGGUAAAGGCCUACCAAGGCGAUGAUGCAUAGCCGACCUGAGAGGGUGAUCGGCCACAUUGGGACUGAGACACGGCCCAAACUCCUACGGGAGGCAGCAGUAGGGAAUCUUCCGCAAUGGACGCAAGUCUGACGGAGCAACGCCGCGUGAGUGAAGAAGGUCUUCGGAUCGUAAAGCUCUGUUGUUAGAGAAGAACAGCGCAUAGAGUAACUGCUAUGCGUGUGACGGUAUCUAACCAGAAAGCCACGGCUAACUACGUG